AGAAUCAACGCUGGCGGCGUGCCUAACACAUGCAAGUCGAACGAGAAAGUGGAGCAAUCCACGAGUAAAGUGGCGCACGGGUGAGUAACACGUGACUAACCUACCCUUGAGUGGGGGAUAACCUAGGGAAACCUGGGCUAAUACCGCAUAAUACCUUCGGGUCAAAGGAGCAAUUCGCUUAAGGAGGGGGUCGCGGCCGAUUAGUUAGUUGGCGGGGUAAUGGCCCACCAAGACUGUGAUCGGUAUCCGGCCUGAGAGGGCGCACGGACACACUGGAACUGAAACACGGUCCAGACUCCUACGGGAGGCAGCAGUGGGGAAUUUUGCGCAAUGGGGGAAACCCUGACGCAGCAACGCCGCGUGGAGGAUGAAGCCCCUUGGGGCGUAAACUCCUUUCGAUCGGGACGAUUAUGACGGUACCGGAAGAAGAAGCCCGGCUAACUUCGCGCCAGCAGCCGC
rnacentral:rRNA from 1 species